AGUCGUGCGGUAACAGAAAAGUUAUUUUAAUUUUGCUGACGAGCGGCGUACGGGUGAGUAAUAUAUGGGAAUCUGCCCAAUAGAGGGGGAUAACUACUGGAAACGGUAGCUAAUACUACAUAAUCUCUAAGGAGCAAAUGCAGGGGAUCUUAAUUUUUAGACCUUGCGCUAUUGGAUGAGCCCAUAGGAGAUUAGCUAGUAGGUAAGGUAAUGGCUUACCUAGGCGACGAUCUCUAGCUGGUCUGAGAGGAUGUACAGCCACACUGGGACUGAGAUACGGCCCAGACUCCUACGGGAGGCAGCAGUGGGGAAUAUUGCACAAUGGGCGCAAGCCUGAUGCAGUCAUACCGCGUGUACGAUGAAGGCCUUAGGGUUGUAAAGUACUUUCAGUUAGGAAGAAGUUUAUAAUAUUAAUACUAUUUAUAAAUUGACGUUACUAACAAAAGAAGCACCGGCUAACUCCGUGCCAGCAGCCGCGGUAAUACGGAGGGUGCUAGCGUUAAUCGGAAUUACUGGGCGUAAAGAGCAUGUAGGUGGUUAAUUAAGUUAGAUGUGAAAUCCCUUUUGGCUUAACCAAGGAAUAGCAUUUAAAACUGAUAAACUAGAGUUUUGUAGGGGGAGGUAGAAUUCCAUGUGUAGCGGUGAAAUGCGUAGAGAUAUGGAGGAAUACCAGUGGCGAAGGCGGCCUCCUGGGCAAAAACUGACACUAAGAUGCGAAAGCAUGGGGAGCAAACAGGAUUAGAUACCCUGGUAGUCCAUGCUGUAAACGAUGUCGAUUUGAAAGUUGUUAUUAGUAACUAAUGGCUUUCGUAGCUAACGCGAUAAAUCGACCGCCUGGGGAGUACGGCCGCAAGGUUAAAACUCAAAUGAAUUGACGGGGGCCCGCACAAGCGGUGGAGCAUGUGGUUUAAUUCGAUGCAACGCGAAGAACCUUACCUACUCUUGACAUCCAAUGAAUUCUUUAGAAAUAGAGAAGUGCCUUAAUUGGAACAUUGAGACAGGUGCUGCAUGGCUGUCGUCAGCUCGUGUUGUGAAAUGUUGGGUUAAGUCCCGCAACGAGCGCAACCCUCAUACUUUGUUACCAGCGAGUAAAGUCGGGGACUCAAAGUAAACUGCCGAUGAUAAAUCGGAGGAAGGUGAGGACGACGUCAAGUCAUCAUGGCCCUUACGAGUAGGGCUACACACGUGCUACAAUGGCAUAUACAAAGGGAAGCAAACUUGCAAAAGUAAGCCAAUCUCAUAAAGUAUGUCUUAGUUCGGAUUGGAGUCUGCAACUCGACUCCAUGAAGCAGGAAUCGCUAGUAAUCGUAGAUCAGAAUGCUACGGUGAAUACGUUCUCGGGCCUUGUACACACCGCCCGUCACACCAUGGAAGUGAAUUGCAAAAGAAGUAAGCAAGCUUAACAAAAAGGGCUCUUACCACUUUGUGG
rnacentral:rRNA from 1 species